GGCCGCGGUAUCCUAACCGUGCAAAGGUAGCAUAAUCACUUGUCCUCUAAAUAAGGACUAGUAUGAACGGUCAAAUGAGGACUUAACUGUCUCUUACAUUCAACCAAUAAAACUGAUCUCUCAGUUAAAAAGCUGAGAUAUUAACAUAAGACGAGAAGACCCUGUGGAGCUUCAAACCAAACCCAACCCUAAUGAGGCUCGGUUUUUAGUUGGGGCGACUUCGGAGUAUAAAAAAACCUCCGACACAAACCAUAUUAAGACCAACACGUCAACAUAUUUUUCUCCUGACCCGGUAUUUACCAAAAUAUCCGAUCAAUGAACCAAGUUACCCCAGGGAUAACAGCGCCAUCCCCUUCUAGAGUCCUUAUCGACAAGGGGGUUUACGACCUCGAUGUUGGAUCAGGACACCCAAAUAGUGCAGCCGCUAUUAAAGUU
rnacentral:rRNA from 1 species